CUGCGCACAAAGACACUCUACUCUCACCCUCACAUCUCACACUUAUGUACUCCAUUCACACCCAAAAACACAAAGAGAGAAUGCAGCACACGUAGUACAGACACCAAUUCACACACUAUUACAUCCUACACAAAAAUUCACAUGGACAUAAACAUACAAACUCUCACAAAAAAAUCCUAACAAAAAAACUCACAACACAGUGCACAAAAAACAACAUCCCCAAAACUAGAGAAAAGAAAGAAAGAAAAAAUCAAAAAAAAAACGAAAAUGCAGAGAUCGAGGUUUGUUUUCGUGGUUCCGAGUUUGUGGUUCCUAUUAUAGUCUUUGUUUGUGAAUUAAUCUUCACAAAAGGUAAUACUUAUAUUUUUUUUGUUUAUCUAAUGCCGCAAUUAUAUGAUAUUUGAUUUCAAUGUUAUAAAGUUGCCCAAAUUUUGUUUAACACAUUCAUAUUCUUAAUGGUAUAAUUGGAAGUAUGCUGAAAUUUUUUCGAUUUCAUUAAAUUUAGAAUAAAAUUGAUGUAAUAUGUAGUUAGUAUUUUACAUGCAAAAAAUUUAUAUGUGAACCCUGGUUUUAUUUAACAGUUUCAUCUUUUUCUUAGUUGAACUUUUACUCCAAAAAUAAAUAUAUAGUUGUUAUGCUUAUAUGAAAAGCCACCGUUAGUCUUGUAGGAACAUUAAUUUUAGUUUAAAAAAUUUGAAGAGUGGGUCAUUAAAGUUCGGUAACUUUAUUACUACUGAAAUGGAUUUAAACUUUAAGAUAUGAAGAUUUUAGUAAAAAUAUGGAGAUCAAAGAAUCUAAUUUUUUCGACAUAAAGUAAUUAUAUUAGUUAGUGUAAAAUAAUAUUUAACCUUGCUUAGUAAAAAUAAUAUUUGGUAUUUAAUUCAAAUGUUUUUUUAAUGGGUUCGCACCUAAUAAAUUUUUAUUUUAUUUUUUGGGGGAAUAAUCAAAUAUAUUUUUUUGUAAGAUUGACGUAUGAAGUUCUGUCUAUUUAUUUAUUUUGAUAGAUAGUGAGGAUUGAGAAGAGCGAGAGUGGUGCAAUUUUUUUAUUUUAAAUCCAUUGUAAAGUAAAAAAAAAUUACUCCAGAAGAAUGGUUUAGGAUUUUUAAUUCAAAGAAAAUUAUUGAUAUUUUUAUAUGUGAUAAUAAAUAAUUCGUGGUAAUGUUAAAAAACGUUGCAAUCAAUACACCACACACUAAUAAAAUAAGAUAGUUUCAAACAAGUUUUUAAUAAAUAAAAAAAAAGGGGUAAAUAACACUUUAUUCUUAAGUUAAUAAGUAUAAUAUACUUAAAAUUAGUUUAAGCCAUAUAUAAAUCAACAUAGAGACCGUGCUAAAACCACAAAACUCGAGGGGUGCCUCACAUCUUCCCCUUGGUUAACAGAAUUUCUUACCCGAAUUUCUAAUUCGCAAAUCAUAAAAUAAAGAGUUAAUUUUCAUUUUGAUUAGGGAUUUAACAAGGUGACUUGGAACACCAAAACUCAAUUUCAAAUGGCAACUCUGAAUGAUAAAUAAUUCAUUUUCAAACACUUCAAUUGGAAAAACCCAUCAAAAAAGGAGUGUGACAUCUCUGGCGACUUUGCUGGGGACAAUCAGACUUAGGGUUUUUUAAUAUUGAUUUGUGUAUGGCUUUUAUUACUUUUAUAAUAUUGUAUUUAUUGGCCUAAUGUAUUGAUUGCCCUCUUAUUUACUGCUUUGAUAUUAUUUGAAUUGUACUAUAAAUUAUCUUUUCUCGUACACUCAUCUGAGUCUUCUGAAAGAUAUAUUACGUUCGGAGACGUGAUCUACACUCCCAAACCUUUCUUUGAGAUACCAGAGAUGCGAUUGCAUUCAUGGGAAUAAUUUUAUAGUAACACAUAUUUUAGGAUGGAUAUGACUAAUAGUGAGGCUGGAAAGCCAUGCUACCGGAAAGCUAUCCCUUCCCGACUCAAGUAGUCCAUUCAUUUUACAACCAGUCUAGACAUCUAUCUUCUUCAGGUUUAAACUUAAUAAAACUGAACACAGGCAAGGUUAUCUCUAGUAGACUCCGCUUGUUUGCAUUAUUUAUAUUUGACUUAGUGAACUCGACACUAGAGUUGGGUCCAUCUAGGACAAAUAUUCCUCUCUUAUUUGACCACUUAGAUCAUUAUAUGUGGUAGCUUAAAAUAUAUUUAUUUGGAAGAUCUUUGUAUGUUGACCAAUUUUUAGGGUGAUCAUUGGAAUGAGAAAAAGAGAUCUUUCAAUUUUAUAUGAAAAGAGAGGAAGAAAACACAAAAUAUAUUUCUUGUUUAGUUCUUAUACAUUUCUAAAAAAUGAAUAGUUUUUUAAAAAAAAAAUAAAAAUCACAAAAAAAAAGUUGGUUUUUAGUUUCUUUUGUACAGUUCAUAAAAAGAAAACUCAAAAGAUUUUUCUUUCAAAUUACUUUGAAAAAAUUGCUUGUAAAGUCAGGUUUCAAUAUUUUAAAGUUUUGCCUAACUGUCCAAUCUGACAAACUACAAACACCUGAUUCUCACAUCAUUGAGAUACGUAGGCAACCUUCCUUGGGUACGGUGGUCCUUAUAAAAAAAAGAUUCAAAAAAAAAGAAAAGAAAAGUUUUUCCAUAUCCACAACAAAAAAAUUAUUUUCUUGUUCAAAAAAGCUAAAAAAGAAAGAAAGUUCUUGUUUCAUAUUCAAUAAAAAAAGGUUUUGUUUAUGAGCUUUGCGAACUAUGUGCACUGAAUUUUGUCACCUCGAUGAGAUAGUAGGCAUCUCUCAAUGGAUUCGGUGAUAUAAGUUCAAAAAUACUAAAAAAUAAAAUUAACCCUCAUUCCAAAAAAAAAAGUUGUUAUCCUUCUUCAAAAAAAACUUUUCUUACUUUAUGUUUCAAGCUUUGCGAACUACACAUCACUUAAUUUUUAUCACCUCAAUGAAAUACAUAGUCAAUGUAAUGAGUUAUCCCCGUCGUUAGGAUAGGCCAAUGGAGAAGAAAUUUGGGUUAGAAAAUUUUGGAUAGUAACUUUGGAAAAAUUUAGCCUAGGCCAGACUUGGACGAAUUCUGAGUCAGGUGAGAUCUAGGGUGACCUUGUGAUAUGUGGGGCAUAGAAUCUUUAAUUUGGCUGGGUCAGCUGAUAGCCAAGAAGAUACAGAGCAUUUACAGUUUCACGGAAUCGCAUUUAGGUGAGUAAAACUCUAUGUAUUGAACUUGGCGCGAAGGAUAUAAAUUUAGACAUCUUGAGAAGAGGGUAUGAUGUGAAAGGGUAAACUUGGAGACUCUUUACGAGCUCUCUGUCUCUACCUAUCCCACAAGAGCAGAGUUAGUGCCGUCAGGUCGGGGCAGCCAGAGCGGGAGCCGGACAGUCACGACUUAUUACGAGGAAAAAACCCCAGUAACAGUUUUCUACAUAAAAAUGGUUUUUAAGAUGUUAGGAGGUGACCCAGGGUGUUAUUAAUCAAUUUUCCACGGAUUGUUAUGCAAAAUAUAAGAUUUAUACUCCCCAACCUCAUAAUUCAAUUCCUAGAACCCAUAAUCUAUGGUGGGUGAUCUUGAGGAAGGGUUUUGACUUGAAAACUAAUUGUGGAAAGUAGCCCUAGAAUGGGGGUUAGGAUCAUGGAGUUGGCCUAGGAUGGGAAUUGUGUUAUAAUCAUAUUAUUAGGCUAUUUUGUUGAUCCUUUGUAUAUAUUUACAAUGUUUAGAUAAAGAACAAGCAGAAUGAACCCGAAAAAAGAAAAAUUACUACAUCUUAGAGUGGUUGAAGCUCGAAUUCAAGGUAGGUGAUGGUCUUGUUUGUCGUAUGUAUUUCAUGUACUUUCUAAGUAAGCAUGUGUGUAUAUGAAUAGGGAAGUAUUCUAUCAAAUAUGUGAAUGAUCACUUAUUGCAUGUUUUGUGAUGAAUCUGUUCUUGGUUAUAUAAUGUGGACUAUUAUUGGUAAAUUGUGAUUGAUUUGCAUAAUAGAAUUGGGUGUCACAUUCCGAUACAUAAUUGGAUUGGAAGUCAUAUUCCGACACACAUUUGGAUCAAGUAUCAACACAAACCUUGGAUCGGGUGUCACAUUUCGACACAAAUUAAGUAUUUGCAGGUCCCGUGAGAGGACCCUUAUGUGAAGUUGCAUGAUAUUGAGAUUAUUGGACUGUGGUCUUACAGAGGACUAAUUGGCAUGAAAAUGAUCAAGUUUAUUCUGUAUAUAUAUGCUUACUAUAUUGAGUUUACUUAUCCAUUAUUCUCUUAUUACCUAGCCGCGUGAUCCUACCAGUGCACUGUUAAUUUUAUGUACUGAUACUACACUUGUUCUGUCUUUGUUGAGUACACGGCAUAUUCAGCUGACUGUGGAGAGACCUUGCUUAGAGGAGUGACAAUUGUUCGAGUUCAAGGGGCAUAUUCAACCGACUAUGGAGAGACUUUAUUUAGAGGAGUGACAAUUGUUCGAGUUCAAGGGUGCAUCGUUGAUGAUCACUCCCACUCUAAGAUUUGGUCCGAGCACCAGUUACCAACACUGAUUCAGGCCAACUGUAGUCUAUUUUCGGAGGUGUGGGUGGGCAUCUAGCAUUUUUGGAUUUUCCAGUCUUCAUUUGUACAUAUUUGGCUGUCUUUUACUUUUUUUAGACAAUUUUGUGUCUGUAGUCCACUUUUGGGACUUGUAUCAGUAUUUUGUAGUAGCUCUAUAUUUGUGACUUUUAGGUCUCAUAUAGUAUGAGAAUGGUGAGAAGAGAUAUAUUUUACAUCCCAAAGGGGCUAUAAUUGGAGAUUCCAUUGUUUCUGGUACAGAAGUUCCUAUAAAAUGGAAAAUGCCCUACCUUUGAGUGUAGUUUGAACUAUUGAUUUACAUAAUUGGAAAUAACCAAUUAGGUUUACGACGAAACCUAGAAAUCGAUCACUGAUCCAAUUUGAGUACCUCUAUAGGAUC